rnacentral:rRNA from 1 species
UACGUAGGGGGCAAGCGUUGUCCGGAAUCAUUGGGCGUAAAGCGCACGUAGGCGGCCCUGUAAGUCCGUUGUGAAAGUCAAAGGCUCAACCUUUGAAUGCCGAUGGAUACUGCAGGGCUAGAGUCCGGAAGAGGCGAGUGGAAUUCCUGGUGUAGCGGCGGAAUGCGCAGAUAUCAGGAGGAACACCAAUAGCGAAGGCAGCUCGCUGGGACGGUACUGACGCUAAGGUGCGAAAGCGUGGGGAGCGAACAGG